rnacentral:rRNA from 1 species
AUGGCGAGCAAGGCGACGGCGGCGACGUCGUGGCGGUGGCGGCUGCUGCUGCUGCUGCUGGUGGCGGUGGCGGCGCUGUGCUGGAUCCCGCCGGCGAUCGCGAUGGCGGCGGCGGCGUCGACGGCCAAGAAGGGGGCGCGGAGGUCGCUGCUGGGGUUCGUGGAGGCGCAGGGCAACUCCUCCUACCGCUGCAGCCCCUCCGGCCCCUGCAUCCCCUGCCAGUACUCCGAGAAGAAUGACGAGAAGUACUGUUGCAGCGAAACUGGCUACCGUUUGCCUUUGAAAUGUAUACAGGUACAAAAUGGUACAAAAGAAGAGAACAAAACAAAGGAUAGAAAGAUGUUGGCAGAGACAUCCAUGCCAGCUGGCCCAAAACAUUAUGUUACUUACAGGAGUUGUGUACCAUUGGAGGCUGAAGAGAAACUAUCUAUUCUUGGUUUCGAGGUCCUCAUGGCUGGAAUGUUGCUUGUAAGUGGGCCGUUCGUGUAUUACCGGAAAAGGCAAGCAAGUGUAAUGCAAGGGGUUUCAAGAAUCCCGACAAACCCUCCUAGGUUUUAG